rnacentral:rRNA from 1 species
AUUGAACGCUGGCGGCAUGCCUUACACAUGCAAGUCGAACGGUAACGGGCCUUCGGGUGCCGACGAGUGGCGAACGGGUGAGUAAUGUAUCGGAACGUACCUUUCAGUGGGGGAUAACGUAGCGAAAGUUACGCUAAUACCGCAUAUUCUGUGAGCAGGAAAGCAGGGGAUCGCAAGACCUUGCGCUGAUUGAGCGGCCGAUAUCAGAUUAGCUAGUUGGUGAGGUAAAGGCUCACCAAGGCGACGAUCUGUAGCGGGUCUGAGAGGAUGAUCCGCCACGCUGGAACUGAGACACGGUCCAGACUCCUACGGGAGGCAGCAGUGGGGAAUUUUGGACAAUGGGGGCAACCCUGAUCCAGCCAUGCCGCGUGAGUGAAGAAGGCCUUCGGGUUGUAAAGCUCUUUCGGCCGGGAAGAAAUCGUAUCAGCUAAUACCUGGUGUGGAUGACGGUACCGGCAUAAGAAGCACCGGCUAACUACGUGCCAGCAGCCGCUGUAACAC